UUGAACGCUGGCGGCAGGCCUAACACAUGCAAGUCGAGCGGUAGCACAGAGAGCUUGCUCUCGGGUGACGAGCGGCGGACGGGUGAGUAAUGUCUGGGAAACUGCCUGAUGGAGGGGGAUAACUACUGGAAACGGUAGCUAAUACCGCAUAAUGUCGCAAGACCAAAGUGGGGGACCUUCGGGCCUCAUGCCAUCAGAUGUGCCCAGAUGGGAUUAGCUAGUAGGUGGGGUAACGGCUCACCUAGGCGACGAUCCCUAGCUGGUCUGAGAGGAUGACCAGCCACACUGGAACUGAGACACGGUCCAGACUCCUACGGGAGGCAGCAGUGGGGAAUAUUGCACAAUGGGCGCAAGCCUGAUGCAGCCAUGCCGCGUGUGUGAAGAAGGCCUUCGGGUUGUAAAGCACUUUCAGCGGGGAGGAAGGCGGUGAGGUUAAUAACCUCAUCGAUUGACGUUACCCGCAGAAGAAGCACCGGCUAACUCCGUGCCAGCAGCCGCGGUAAUACGGAGGGUGCAAGCGUUAAUCGGAAUUACUGGGCGUAAAGCGCACGCAGGCGGUCUGUCAAGUCGGAUGUGAAAUCCCCGGGCUCAACCUGGGAACUGCAUUCGAAACUGGCAGGCUAGAGUCUUGUAGAGGGGGGUAGAAUUCCAGGUGUAGCGGUGAAAUGCGUAGAGAUCUGGAGGAAUACCGGUGGCGAAGGCGGCCCCCUGGACAAAGACUGACGCUCAGGUGCGAAAGCGUGGGGAGCAAACAGGAUUAGAUACCCUGGUAGUCCACGCCGUAAACGAUGUCGAUUUGGAGGUUGUGCCCUUGAGGCGUGGCUUCCGGAGCUAACGCGUUAAAUCGACCGCCUGGGGAGUACGGCCGCAAGGUUAAAACUCAAAUGAAUUGACGGGGGCCCGCACAAGCGGUGGAGCAUGUGGUUUAAUUCGAUGCAACGAGAAGAACCUUACCUGUUCUUGACAUCCACAGAAUUUUCCAGAGAUGGAUUGGUGCCUUCGGGAACUUUGAGACAGGUGCUGCAUGGCUGUCGUCAGCUCGUGUUGUGAAAUGUUGGGUUAAGUCCCGCAACGAGCGCAACCCUUAUCCUUUGUUGCCAGCGGUUAGGCCGGGAACUCAAAGGAGACUGCCAGUGAUAAACUGGAGGAAGGUGGGGAUGACGUCAAGUCAUCAUGGCCCUUACGACCAGGGCUACACACGUGCUACAAUGGCAUAUACAAAGAGAAGCGACCUCGCGAGAGCAAGCGGACCUCAUAAAGUAUGUCGUAGUCCGGAUUGGAGUCUGCAACUCGACUCCAUGAAGUCGGAAUCGCUAGUAAUCGUAGAUCAGAAUGCUACGGUGAAUACGUUCCCGGGCCUUGUACACACCGCCCGUCACACCAUGGGAGUGGGUUGCAAAAGAAGUAGGUAGCUUAACCUUCGGGAGGGCGCUUACCACUUUGUGAUUCAUGACUGGGGUG
rnacentral:rRNA from 1 species